UGAGUAGCACAGAUGGUCGCGCCUUUUAUAAGGUGAGGAAAGUCCGGGCUUCAUAGGGCAGGGUGCCGGAUAACGUCCGGUGGAGGCGACUCCAAGGCUAGUGCAACAGAAAUAAACCGCCGAGGCAUUUUGCAUCGGUAAGGAUGGAAAGGUGGUUUAAGAGACCACCGCCCUUCCGGUAACGGAAGGGGCAGAUGUAAACCCCACCCGAAGCAAGGCCUAACAGAAAGCGAUACGGUGGCCCGCCGUGCUUUCGGGUUGGCCGCGCGGCAACAGGCGAAAGCGGUUGCCGGAGCUGUAUGGCGACAUACAGUCCAGACAGAUGACCAUCCGCGACAGAACCCGGCUUACAGUGCUACUCAUAUU
rnacentral:RNase_P_RNA from 1 species